rnacentral:lncRNA from 1 species
AUGUCUGGUAUCCAACUGCUGUGGGAUGAAAGGCUGUCUUUCAUAUUACAUUGCAUUACAUUACAUUAUAUUACAUUCUUUCAUAUUACAUUGCAUUACAUUACAUUAUAUUACAUUACAGAUUAUAUUACAUUACAGAUUACAUUACAGAUAACAUUACAGACUACAUUACAGAUUACAUUAAAUUACAGAUUACAUUACAGAUUACAUUACAUUGCAGAUUACAUUACAUUGCAGAUUACAUUGCAGAUUACAUUACAUUGCAGAUUACAUUACCAUUACAUUACCUUACCUUACAUUAUCUUACAUUACCCUUACAUUAUUUACCCUUAUAUUACCUUACAUUACCUUACCUUACUUUACAUUACAUUACCUUACUUUACAUUACCCUUACAUUACCUUACCUUAUAUUACCUUAUAUUACCUUACUUUACAUUACCUUAUUUUACAUCACCUUACAUUACAUUACAUUCCCUUAUCUUACAUUACCUUACAUUACAUUACCUUACAUUACCUUACCUUACAUUACCUUACAUUAACUUACAUUACCUUACAUUGCCUUACAUUAUAUUCACUUACAUUACAUUACCCUUACCUUACAUUACCUUAUCUUACCUUACCUUACAUUACCUUACAUUACCUUACAUUAUCUUACAUUAUCUUACAUUACCUUAUUUGACAUUACCUUACAUUACAUUCCCUUAUCUUACAUUACCUUACAUAAUCUUACCUUACAUUAUCUUACCUUACAUUACCUUAUCUUACCUUACCUUACAUUACCUUACAUUACAUUACCUUACAUUACCUUAUUUUACAUUAUCUUACAUUACAUUCUCUUAUCUUACAUUACCUUACCUUACAUUACAUUCCCUUAUCUUACAUUACCCUACCUUACAUUACCCUACCUUACAUUACCUUACAUUAUCUUACCUUACAUUAUCUUACCUUACAUUACCUUAUUUUACAUUACCUUACAUUACAUUCCUUUAUCUUACAUUACCUUACAUUACCCUACCUUACAUUACCCUACCUUACAUUACCUUACAUUACAUAACCUUACAUUACCUUACAUUAUCUUACCUUACAUUAUCUUACCUUACAUUACCUUACAUUACAUUACCUUACAUUACCUUAUUUUACAUUACCUUACAUUACAUUCUCUUAUCUUACAUUAUCUUACCUUACAUUAUCUUACAUUACAUUCUCUUAUCUUACAUUACCUUACCUUACAUUACAUUCCCUUAUCUUACAUUCCCUUACCUUACAUUACCUUACCUUACAUUACCUUACCUUACAUUAUCCUACCUUACAUUACCUUACCUUACAUUAUCUUACCUUACAUUACCUUAUUUUACAUUACCUUUUACAUUACAUUCCUUUAUCUUACAUUACCUUACAUUACCCUACCUUACAUUACCCUACCUUACAUUACCUUACAUUACAUAA